rnacentral:rRNA from 1 species
UUCCGGUUGAUCCUGCCGGACCCUACUGCUAUCGGGGGAGGACUAAAACAUGCAAGUCGUGCGCCUCCAAGCCAUGGUGGAGACGCGGCAUCCGGCUCAGUAACACGUGGCUAACCCACCCUUGAGACGGGGAAAACCCCGGGAAACUGGGGUUAAUCCCCGAUAAGAGAAGACACCUGGAAUGGGUCUCCUCUCAAAGGGCGCCUAGACCAUGCUUCUGGGCGUUGCUCAAGGACGGGGCCGCGGCCGAUCAGGUUGUUGGUGAGGUAACGGCUCACCAAGCCUAUAACCGGUACGGGCCCUGAGAGGGGGAGCCCGGAGAUGGGAACUGAGACAAGGUCCCAGGCCCUACGGGGCGCAGCAGGCGCGAAACCUCCACAAUGCGCGAAAGCGUGAUGGGGUUACCCCGAGUGCCGUCCGUUGAGGAGGGCUUUUCCCCAGCGUAAGGAGCUGGGGGCAAUAAAGGGGGGGCAAGACUGGUGUCAGCCGCCGCGGUAAUACCAGCCCCCUGAGUGAUAGGGACGAUUAUUGGGCUUAAAGCGUCCGUAGCUGGCCUAGCAAGUCUUCCGUUAAAUCCACCGAUUCAAUCGUUGGACUGCGGGAGAUACUGUUGGGCUAGGGGGCGGGAGAGGCCGACGGUAUUCUCGGGGUAGGGGUAAAAUCCUAUAAUCCCGGGAGGACCACCAGUGGCGAAGGCGGUCGGCUAGAACGCGCUCGACGGUGAGGGACGAAAGCUGGGGGAGCGAACCGGAUUAGAUACCCGGGUAGUCCCAGCUGUAAACGAUGCGGGCUAGGUGUUGGGGCGGCUACGGCCGCUUCAGUGCCGCAGGGAAACCAUUAAGCCCGCCGCCUGGGGAGUACGGGCCGCAAGGCUGAAACUUAAAGGAAUUGGCGGGGGAGCACCACAAGGCGUGAAGCUUGCGGUUCAAUUGGAGUCAACGCCGG